AUAUAUUAUUAUCUAAUAUCUAUAAUAAUAAGCGUGUCAAUCGUUUCAGAUGAAACGAUUAUCUCGGCGUCUGAGACAUAGCAAAGUGAAAUUCGACAUCUGUGGUAUGGUGACGGUGGACAAGACGCUUUUAUCAUCGGCAGUGAUCAGUGUAAUUUCGUAUUUGGUGAUCGUGUUGCAGUACAACUACAGUUAAACCAAAUCUCAGCGAAUCGGUUUAAUUUUAACAAUAGCGUAUAUCCGCGGCCACAACACGUAUAUUAUGAUACAUUAAAUGUACAAUAUGUCUCUUAAAUCCCAAUUACGUUGCUAUUAUACAAGCCGAGUUCAUCAUUAUCCUAAUAUUGUUUAAACAUAUUAUACUUGACAUCCUUGUCAUGACUUGAACAGGUACACGCUGAACCACUAACACUAAUAGACGGAUGGAUAAACGGCGAUUAAUACAUAUAUACAUUAUAUUCUGAUAUAUUGCCGUGUACGAUAAUAAUUGUAAUUUUAUUAACUUUUCAUUUGUGUACCAUAGGUACCCAUUACCCUGUAUAGUUACACAAUUCAAUAGUAUACUAAAGUAUAGUUUGAAAUAUUCAAAAUUGUAUACAACAACACAAAUAAAAGAUUUCUUUCAA